rnacentral:rRNA from 1 species
GAUGAACGCUGGCGGCGUGCCUAAUACAUGCAAGUCGAGCGAACGGGCGAGAAGCUUGCUUCUCUGAUGUUAGCGGCGGACGGGUGAGUAACACGUGGAUAACCUACCUAUAAGACUGGGAUAACUUCGGGAAACCGGAGCUAAUACCGGAUAAUAUUUUGAACCGCAUGGUUCAAAAGUGAAAGACGGUCUUGCUGUCACUUAUAGAUGGAUCCGCGCUGCAUUAGCUAGUUGGUAAGGUAACGGCUUACCAAGGCAACGAUGCAUAGCCGACCUGAGAGGGUGAUCGGCCACACUGGAACUGAGACACGGUCCAGACUCCUACGGGAGGCAGCAGUAGGGAAUCUUCCGCAAUGGGCGAAAGCCUGACGGAGCAACGCCGCGUGAGUGAUGAAGGUCUUCGGAUCGUAAAACUCUGUUAUUAGGGAAGAACAUAUGUGUAAGUAACUGUGCACAUCUUGACGGUACCUAAUCGGAAAGCCACGGCUAACUACGUG